UACGGAGGGUGCAAGCGUUAUCCGGAUUUACUGGGUUUAAAGGGUGCGCAGGCGGAUAUGUAAGUCAGUGGUGAAAUCUCUAGGCUUAACCUGGAAAUUGCCGUUGAUACUAUAUAUCUUGAAUGUUGUGGAGGUAAGCAGAAUAUGUCAUGUAGCGGUGAAAUGCUUAGAUAUGACAUAGAACACCUAUUGCGAAGGCAGCUUACUACGCAUAUAUUGACGCUGAGGCACGAAAGCGUGGGGAUCAAACAGG
rnacentral:rRNA from 1 species